ACCAAAGUAGCUCAGUGGGAGAGUGUUAGACUGAAGAGUUAGAGGUCCCUGGUUUACCUCCAGGCUUUGGCA
rnacentral:tRNA from 1 species